rnacentral:rRNA from 1 species
GAUGAACGCUGGCGGCGUGCCUAAUACAUGCAAGUCGAGCGAACGGACGAGAAGCUUGCUUCUCUGAUGUUAGCGGCGGACGGGUGAGUAACACGUGGAUAACCUACCUAUAAGACUGGGAUAACUUCGGGAAACCGGAGCUAAUACCGGAUAAUAUUUUGAACCGCAUGGUUCAAAAGUGAAAGACGGUCUUGCUGUCACUUAUAGAUGGAUCCGCGCUGCAUUAGCUAGUUGGUAAGGUAACGGCUUACCAAGGCAACGAUGCAUAGCCGACCUGAGAGGGUGAUCGGCCACACUGGAACUGCGACACGGUCCAGACUCCUGCGGGAGGCAGCAGUAGGGAAUCUUCCGCAAUGGGCGAAAGCCUGACGGAGCAACGCCGCGUGAGUGAUGAAGGUCUUCGGAGCGUAAAACUCUGUUAUUAGGGAAGAACAUAUGUGUAAGGAACUGUGCACAUCUUGACGGUACCUAAUCAGAAAGCCACGGCUAACUACGUG